CAGUAGUCACGUAGUUUGAUCAUGGCUCAGAACACGCUGGCGGCAUGCCUAACACAUGCAAGUCGAACGAGACCUUCGGGUCUAGUGGCGCACGGGUGCGUAACGCGUGGGAAUCUGCCCUUGGGUUCGGAAUAACUUCGGGAAACUGAAGCUAAUACCGGAUGAUGACGUAAGUCCAAAGAUUUAUCGCCCAAGGAUGAGCCCGCGUAGGAUUAGCUAGUUGGUGAGGUAAAGGCUCACCAAGGCGACGAUCCUUAGCUGGUCUGAGAGGAUGAUCAGCCACACUGGGACUGAGACACGGCCCAGACUCCUACGGGAGGCAGCAGUGGGGAAUAUUGGACAAUGGGCGAAAGCCUGAUCCAGCAAUGCCGCGUGAGUGAUGAAGGCCUUAGGGUUGUAAGGCUCUUUUACCCGGGAUGAUAAUGACAGUACCGGGAGAAUAAGCUCCGGCUAACUCCGUG
rnacentral:rRNA from 1 species